AACGAACGCUGGCGGCAGGCUUAACACAUGCAAGUCGAGCGCCCCGCAAGGGGAGCGGCAGACGGGUGAGUAACGCGUGGGAAUCUACCCAUCUCUACGGAAUAGCGCAUGGAAACGUGUGCUAAUACCGUACACGUCCUUCGGGAGAAAGAUUUAUCGGAGAUGGAUGAGCCCGCGUUGGAUUACCUAGUUGGUGGGGUAAAGGCCUACCAAGGCGACGAUCCAUAGCUGGUCUGAGAGGAUGAACAGCCACACUGGGACUGAGACACGGCCCAGACUCCUACGGGAGGCAGCAGUGGGGAAUAUUGGACAAUGGGCGCAAGCCUGAUCCAGCCAUGCCGCGUGAGUGAUGAAGGCCCUAGGGUUGUAAAGCUCUCUCACCGGUGAAGAUAAUGACGGUAACCGGAGAAGAAGCCCCGGCUAACAUCGUGCCAGCCGCCGCGGUAAGAC
rnacentral:rRNA from 1 species